ensembl:miRNA Mir7578 microRNA 7578
GUCUUUAGUGAAGGAGAAAGGGGCUAGGUGGUGAGACACAUACCCGAGACUCAACGCUACGUGGCUCGUCUUCUGCCUCAGA